rnacentral:hammerhead_ribozyme from 1 species
GUACUGCUGAAGAGUCCCAAACUAGGACGAAACGGCUGUCCAGCAC